AUACUUACCUGGACGGGGUCAAUGGGCGAUCAUGAAAGUCCAUGGCCUAGAUUGGUGACCUCCAUUGCACUGUGGGAGGGGUGCCCGACUAAGGUCUGUCCAAAGUGGCGGAACCUACGUCAUUAUUUGUGGUAGCGGGGGCCUGCGUUCGCGCGGCCCCCUA